GAUUUUGCGAUUCAACUCAUUUGACUCAUUUUUGUUUUUUCAUUACACAAUAACAUCAACAUUACCAGUUUUUUAUUCUUUAGAAGAUAACCUUUGGGGUAUUUUUGUUGUAUCAUGAUCAGAAUCCAGCAGAUGCAGAGGAGGAUACCGUAAGGUUAUGGGAAGAAGGCGGGAAGGAGCGUUACUAUCAACACAAGCUUAAAGUUGCUUCAUCUGACCAUGAUUUCCGUGCACAAUUUGUGCGGUGCUAUAUUGAAGGUCUCUGCUGGUUGUCUCGAUACUACUAUCAAGGAUGUGCCUCAUGGAAGUGGUCCUUUCCUUAUCACUAUGCCCCCUUUGCUUCUGAUUUUCUCGCUUCUGAUUUUCCGGAUAUCGACAUUAACUUUGAGAAAGGAAC